rnacentral:rRNA from 1 species
AGACAUGCAAGUCGAGCGGGGCGCAGUGUGGUAGCAAUACCGUGCUGCGCUUAGCGGCGAACGGGUGAGUAAUACAGGGGUAACCACCCCCAAGGAGGAGAAUAACCCACCGAAAGGUGGGCUAAUACUCCAUGUGCUGACCGGGAGGCAUCUUCCGGUCAGGAAAGGUGCCGCAAGGUGCCGCCUUGGGACGGGCUCCUGGCCUAUCAGCUUGAUGGCGGGGUAAAAGCCCACCAUGGCUGAGACGGGUAGCUGGCGUGAGAGCGUGACCAGCCACAGGGGAACUGAGACACGGUCCCCACUCCUACGGGAGGCAGCAGUCUAGAAAUUUGGGCAAUGGGCGAAAGCCUGACCCAGCGACGCCGCGUGGGGGAAGAAGUCUUUGGAUUGUAAAGCCCUUUUCAGGGAGAAGAAUGGAUCGCCGGGGAAUACCUGGUGAUCCUUGACAGUACCCCUGGAAUAAGCCCCGGCUAACUACGUGCCAGCAGCCGCGGUAAUACGUAGGGGGCAGCGUUGUUCCGAUUACUGGGUGUAAAGCGCGUGUAGGCGACUCCUUAAGUUGCAUGUGAAUCUCCGGCUCAACUGGGAGGAGUCAUUCAAUACUGAGGGGAUGUGAGGACAGAAGAGGGAAGUGGAAUUCCCGGUGUAGCGGUAAAUGCGUAGAUAUCGGGAGGAACACCAGUGGCGAAGGCGGCUUCCUGGUCUGUCCCUGACGCUGAGGCGCGAAAGCUAGGGGAGCAAACGGGAUUAGAUACCCCGGUAGUCCUAGCCCUAAACGUUGGGUACUAGGUGUAGGAAAGGUUCAAUCUUUUCUGUGCCGCAGCUAACGCGUUAAGUACCCCACCUGGGGAGUACGGCCGCAAGACUGAAACUCAAAGGAAUUGACGGGGCCCCGCACAAGCAGCGGAGCGUGUGGUUUAAUUCGACGCUACACGAAGAACCUUACCGGGGCUUGACAUGCACGUGACCGCACCAGUAUGUAUGGUGCCUUCCUUGAAUUUUAUUCAAGGACACGUGCACAGGUGCUGCAUGGUCUGUCGUCAGCUCGUGUCGUGAGAUGUUGGGUUAAGUCCCGCAACGAGCGCAACCCUCGUCCUUAGUUGCUAACGAUUCCGAAAGGUUUCGUGCACUCUAAGGAGACCGCCGGCGAUAAGCUGGAGGAAGGUGGGGAUGACGUCAAGUCCUCAUGGCCCUUAUGUCCCGGGCUACACACACGCUACAAUGGCCUGAACAAAGGGUUGCAAAGCCGCGAGGUGGAGCCAAUCCCAGAAAUCAGGCCUCAGUUCAGAUUGCAGGCUGCAACUCGCCUGCAUGAAGACGGAGUUGCUAGUAACCGCAGGUCAGCUAUACUGCGGUGAAUACGUUCUCGGGGCUUGUACACACCGCCCGUCAAACCACCUCGAGUCUAGUGCACCCGAAGUCACCUCACCCAACCCGCAAGGGAGGAAGGUGCCGAAGGU